UACGGAGGAUCCGAGCGUUAUCCGGAUUUAUUGGGUUUAAAGGGUGCGUAGGUGGCCUGUUAAGUCAGGGGUGAAAGACGGUAGCUCAACUAUCGCAGUGCCCUUGAUACUGAUGGGCUUGAAUGUAGUUGAGGUAGGCGGAAUGUGACAAGUAGCGGUGAAAUGCAUAGAUAUGUCACAGAACACCAAUUGCGAAGGCAGCUUACUAAGCUAUGAUUGACGCUGAGGCACGAAAGCGUGGGGAUCAAACAGG
rnacentral:rRNA from 1 species